CAAUGUUUCAGUACCUAAGGUUAUUUUUGAUACAAUGUGAAGAAUUUCACAUAAUUUUUGUUGUGAUAGUAGUCUUAAAAUGUAAGCAUUUUGUGCCUUUAAUUAAAUGUUAAAUACAUUCCUAUUUCAAUAAAUAUUUAACUCUUGUAAAUGAUUGGUUUUGUAUUAUAAUUAUGUAGUUAGUUACAUUUUAAAAAUUAAAUAUCACUUGCUUCAAAAUGAUGGCAGGAUGGUGGAGGACAAACUUGUCAGGGAAGCUUCAUGCAUCUUCUCUCUGUAAUGUUUUCUAUUAAGGCGUGAAGUCUGCCGCGCCCUUA